CGGGAUGUGGCUCAGUCUGGUAGAGCACUGCGUUCGGGACGCAGGGGUCGGAGGUUCGAAUCCUCUCAUCCCGACCA
rnacentral:tRNA from 1 species